GAUGAACGCUGGCGGCGUGCCUAAUACAUGCAAGUCGAGCGAACAGACGAGGAGCUUGCUCCUCUGACGUUAGCGGCGGACGGGUGAGUAACACGUGGAUAACCUACCUAUAAGACUGGGAUAACUUCGGGAAACCGGAGCUAAUACCGGAUAAUAUAUUGAACCGCAUGGUUCAAUAGUGAAAGACGGUUUUGCUGUCACUUAUAGAUGGAUCCGCGCCGCAUUAGCUAGUUGGUAAGGUAACGGCUUACCAAGGCAACGGUGCGUAGCCGACCUGAGAGGGUGAACGGCCACACUGGAACUGAGACACGGUCCAGACUCCUACGGGAGGGAGCAGUAGGGAAUCUUCCGGAAUGGGCGGAAGCCUGACGGAGCAACGCCGCGUGAGUGAUGAAGGUCUUCGGAUCGUAAAACUCUGUUAUUAGGGAAGAACGUAUGUGUAAGUAACUAUGCACGUGCUGACGGUACCUAAUCAGAAAGCAACGGCUAACUACGUG
rnacentral:rRNA from 1 species